rnacentral:rRNA from 1 species
UACGGGGGGGCAAGCGUUGUUCGGAAUUACUGGGCGUAAAGGGCUCGUAGGUGGCCAACUAAGUCAGACGUGAAAUCCCUCGGCUUAACCGGGGAACUGCGUCUGAUACUGGAUGGCUUGAGUUUGGGAGAGGGACGCGGAAUUCCAGGUGUAGCGGUGAAAUGCGUAGAUAUCUGGAGGAACACCGGUGGCGAAGGCGGGUCUCUGGGCCGAUACUGACGCUGAGGAGCGAAAGCGUGGGGAGCGAACAGG